GGGGAGAAGCAUUGUUAAGGAACUCGGCAAAAUGACCCCGUAACUUCGGGAGAAGGGGUGCUCUUAGAAAUAAGAGCCGCAGAGAAUUGGCCCAAGCAACUGUUUAGCAAAAACACAGGUCUAUGCAAAACCGAAAGGUGAGGUAUAUGGGCUGACGCCUGCCCGGUGCUGGAAGGUUAAGAGGAGAGGUCAGAGCUAUCGAAGCCUUGAAUUUAAGCCCCAGUAAACGGCGGCCGUAACUAUAACGGUCCUAAGGUAGCGAAAUUCCUUGUCGGGUAAGUUCCGACCCGCACGAAAGGCGUAAUGAUUUGGGCACUGUCUCGACAAUGCACCCGGUGAAAUUGAAAUACCAGUGAAGAUGCUGGUUACCUGCGCCAGGACGGAAAGACCCCAUGGAGCUUUACUCUAGUUUGAUACUGGGAUUCGGUAUUGCAUGUACAGGAUAGGUGGGAGGCUGUGAAGCGAUGACGCCAGUUGUCGCAGAGCCGCUGUUGGGAUACCACCCCUGCAGUACUGGGUUUCUAACCUGCGGCCGUAAUCCGGCCGGGGGACAAUGUCUGACGGGGAGUUUGACUGGGGCGGUCGCCUCCGAAAGGGUAUCGGAGGCGCUCAAAGGUUCCCUCAGAAUGGUUGGAAACCAUUCGAAGAGUGCAAAGGCAGAAGGGAGCUUGACUGCGACACCGACGGGUGGAGCAGGUACGAAAGUAGGACUUAGUGAUCCGGUGGUAUGAAAGUGGGAUUGCCAUCGCUCAACGGAUAAAAGCUACCCUGGGAUAACAGGCUUAUCACUCCCAAGAGUUCACAUCGACGGAGUGGUUUGGCACCUCGAUGUCGGCUCAUCGCAUCCUGGGGCUGUAGUAGGUCCCAAGGGUUGGGCUGUUCGCCCAUUAAAGCGGUACGCGAGCUGGGUUCAGAACGUCGUGAGACAGUUCGGUCCCUAUCCGGCGUGGGCGCAGGAUAUCUGAGAGGAGCUGUCCUUAGUACGAGAGGACCGGGAUGGACUGACCUCUGGUGUACCGGUUGCACUGCCAAGUGCAUGGCCGGGUAGCCAAGUCGGGACGGGACAAACGCUGAAGGCAUCUAAGCGUGAAGCCCCCCUCAAGAUGAGAUAUCCCAUAGAGUAAUCUAGUAAGACCCCUUGAAGACGACGAGGUAGAUAGGUGAAAGGUGGAAGCGUGGUGACAUGUGGAGCUGAUUCAUACUAAUAGGUCGAGGGCUUAAC
rnacentral:rRNA from 1 species